AAUGAGCAACGACUCCGCCGCUGAGUCCCUUCAUAAAUUUGCCGGCACGCAUCCCGGGCCCGGCCUCCCGCUUUUCCAUGUUCAGACGGUCAAUUCAAGUGUGUCCUUCGAUCUAUCGUCCUUCUCCCUCCAUUCCUUUCCGUUUCCUUCUUUCCUCCUCUCUCUCGUCCGGAAAUCCUAAACCUAAUCUCUUUAAAGAAAUUUGAGGUCCCUCUUCUUUGUUUCUCCGCGAAGGAUCCACGAACAGUGAAAGAGGACGAUCUCUCCCGUCCAGAAACCCUAAUCUCCUUCAAGAAUUUUGUGGUCCUUCUUCUUCGUUUCUCUGCGAAANN
rnacentral:lncRNA from 1 species